ACUUUCUUAGUAUAACUAUUAUAACUGACUUCCAAUCAGUAGAUUCUGUAAACCACGGAAGAAAGUA
rnacentral:tRNA from 1 species